UACCAGCUCCCCGAGUGGUUAGGAUGUUUAUUGGGCCUAAAGCAUCCGUAGCCGGUCUUGUAGGUCUUCUGUUAAAUCCACCAACUCAACUGUUGGGCCGCAAAAGAUACCGCAGGACUAGGAGGCGGGAGAGGUGGACGGUACCUUAUGGGUAGGGGUAAAAUCUUUUAAUCCAUAGAAGACCACCAGUGGCGAAGGCGGUCCACCAGAACGCGCUCGACGGUGAGGGAUGAAAGCUGGGGGAGCGAACCGGAUUAGAUACCCGGGUAGUCCCAGCUGUAAACGAUGCGAGCUAGGUGAUGGGGUGGCUGCGAGCCAUCCCAGUGCCCCAGGGAAGCCGUUAAGCUCGCCGCCUGGGAGGUACGACCGCAAGGCUGAAACUUAAAGGAAUUGGCGGGGGAGCACCAUAAGGGGUGAAGCUUGCGGUUU
rnacentral:rRNA from 1 species